UGAACGCUGGCGGCGUGCCUAAUACAUGCAAGUCGAGCGAACAGAUGCGGAGCUUGCUCCUCUGACGUUAGCGGCGGACGGGUGAGUAACACGUGGAUAACCUACCUAUAAGACUGGGAUAACUUCGGGAAACCGGAGCUAAUACCGGAUAAUAUAUUGAACCGCAUGGUUCAAUAGUGAAAGACGGUUUUGCUGUCACUUAUAGAUGGAUCCGCGCCGCAUUAGCUAGUUGGUAAGGUAACGGCUUACCAAGGCGACGAUGCGUAGCCGACCUGAGAGGGUGAUCGGCCACACUGGAACUGAGACACGGUCCAGACUCCUACGGGAGGCAGCAGUAGGGAAUCUUCCGCAAUGGGCGAAAGCCUGACGGAGCAACGCCGCGUGAGUGAUGAAGGUCUUCGGAUCGUAAAACUCUGUUAUUAGGGAAGAACAAAUGUGUAAGUAACUAUGCACGUCUUGACGGUACCUAAUCAGAAAGCCACGGCUAACUACGUG
rnacentral:rRNA from 1 species